rnacentral:lncRNA from 1 species
CAAUUACUAGGCAAAAAAAAGUAACUCAAUCUUUAUGUAUACCGUUAAUGACGUGCCACUGACACAAGUUCACGAACAGAAGUACCUCGGAUUAACAAUAACACACGACUUCAGAUGGAGCACCCAUAUAAACAAUGUUACAGCCACUGCAAUGAAACGCCUUUUCUUUCCAGCACCACAAGAUACAAAACUUCUGGCUUACAAAACUUUUGUGCAGUCGGUCUUUGAGUACGCAAAUGUUGUCUGGUUCCCAUACACUAAGCAAAUAUUUAAAAAAACUAGAAGUUGUACAUAGAAAAGCACUAUGGUAUAUAUACAAAAAACAUAAACUUACAGACUCGCCCACCGAACUACUUAACAAAGCCGGAAUCUUAACAGUAGAAAACGGAGCAGUACUAGCCCGUUCUAAGCUUAUGUACCCGCUUCUACACAACCAGUUUAACAUUGAUACUUCCAGAUACAUCUCCAGAACUGAAACACGGCCAAGGCAACAU